AUACGGAGGGGGCUAGCGUUGUUCGGAAUUACUGGGCGUAAAGGGCGCGUAGGCGGCGCGUCGCGUCAGGCGUGAAAGCCCCAGGCUCAACCUGGGAACUGCGCUUGAUACGGACGUGCUAGAGACCGGGAGAGGAGAGUGGAAUUCCCAGUGUAGAGGUGAAAUUCGUAGAUAUUGGGAAGAACACCAGUGGCGAAGGCGGCUCUCUGGCCCGGUUCUGACGCUGAGGUGCGAAAGCGUGGGGAGCAAACAGGAUUAGAAACCCUAGUAGUCC
rnacentral:rRNA from 1 species